rnacentral:rRNA from 1 species
GACGAACGCUGGCGGCGUGCCUAAUACAUGCAAGUCGAACGCAGUGGGGACGGGUGAGUAACACGUGGGUAACCUCCCCAUCAGAGGGGAUAACACUUGGAAACAGGUGCUAAACCGAUACUGAUGGAUGGACCCGCGGUGCAUUAGCUAGUUGGUGAGGUAACGGCUAACCAAGGCCACGAUGCAUAGCCGGCCUGAGAGGGGGAUCGGCCACAAUGGAACUGAGACAAGGCCCAGACUCCUAAGGGAGGCAGCAGUAGGGAAGAUUCGACAAUGGACGAAAGUCUGACCGAGCAAUGCCGCGUGAGUGAAGAAGGUUUUCGGAUCGUAAAACGCUGUUGGUUGAGAAGAGGUAUCUAACCAGAAAGCCACGGCUAACUACGUGCCAGCAGCCGCGGUAAUUC